CAGCAGCCACGGGAAUACGGAGGGAGCUAGCGUUGUUCGGAAUCACUGGGCGUAAAGCGCACGUAGGCGGCUAUUCAAGUCAGGGGUGAAAGCCCGGGGCUCAACCCCGGAACUGCCUUUGAAACUAGAUAGCUUGAAUCUUGGAGAGGCGAGUGGAAUUCCGAGUGUAGAGGUGAAAUUCAUAGAUAUUCGCAAGAACACCAGUGGCGAAGGCGGCUUACUGGCUCGAAACUGACGCUGAGGCGCGAAAGCGUGGGGAGCGAACAGGAUUAGAGACCCGCGUAGUCCCUGUCUCUUAUAC
rnacentral:rRNA from 1 species